CCCGCCCCGCCCCCGCCCCCGCCCGCAGCCGCCCCUCCGCAUCUCCCACUCCUCCGCCCCUCAAAACCCGGGGGUGGGGGGGGUCCCUUUUCAGAGCUCUUCUUCAGGCCGGGCUGUCUCACCCCACAGCUCGGGCAGAGGUAUCUUCCUCUCCAUGGACAUUUCUGCUCUCAAAAUGCCCAAGAUUCAGUAUCCCAAAUGUGACUGGAUUUCCCAGAAGGGUAGUAUGCGAAGAUAUGCACAAAUCAUUCACAAAAUAAAAAAUACAGCCAGCAAAAAAAAACCAAAAAACAUUUGAUGCUUUCGAACUGUAGAAGGAGUAGACGCUCCUUGGACCACAGGGAGAUCAAACCAGUUAAUCCUAAAGGAAAUCAACCCUGAAUAUUCAUUAGAGGGGCUGAUGUUGAAGCUGAAACUUCAGUACUUUGGCCACUUGAUGCGAAAAGCCAACUCAUUAGAAGAAACCCUGACACUGGGAAAGAUUGAAGGCAGAAGCGGAUGACAGAGGAUGAAAUGGUUGGAUGGCAUCACUGACUCAAUGGACACGAGUUUGAGGAAGUUCCGGGAGAUGGUGAAGGACAGGGAAGCCUGGUGUGCUGCAGUCCAUGGGGUUGCAAAGAGUCAGACAUAGCUGAGCGACUGAACAACAAUAAGAAACAUUUAAGAACAUGCUGUAACUUACUAGUAGUCAUAGAAAUGCAAAUUAAGCAGUGAGAUCACAUAGGGUCUGUGCAUCAAGAACGGUGACAUAUUCGUACAAUCUGCCUGAUUACUCACAUCUGUGAUGAGUCCUAUCAACCCUCCCCAAAUAUUGGGAACAUUUAAUGCCCAACAGUUAUCUACAAUAUUCUUUUGUUAAAGACCUUUCUUGAUUGUAGAAAAUAAUACACAGAAAGUAUACAAUAAUGAACAUACAACAUAGUGAAUUAUUAUAAAGAAGUGCUCAAUGUGAGCCCCUAGGGUAACAAGAUGGAAUACCCUUGUACUCCAGGAGUCUCUGUGUGUCCCUUAAAAAUCACAAACUCCCCAUCUCCAGAGAUAAGGACUUCCUUGCUUUUCUCCAGAGUUUGACCUCCUCAGUAGGCGUCCACAAGCAUGGUGGUUACUUUGCCUGUUUAGGGGAGUUCAUACAAGAGAAAGCAUAUCGUUUGUGUCCUCUCUGAUUUCUUUCACCCAGCCUCACAGGAGGGCCCCCCCCGCCACCGCCGCCGCUUUUUUCCCCUAUUUUACUCUUUUCCUAUUUUUUUUUUUUUUUAAUGAAGUCUACUUGAUUGACAAUACUGUGUUUGUUUCAGAUG
rnacentral:lncRNA from 1 species